GCGGCGUGCUUAACACAUGCAAGUCGAACGGAAAGGCUCCUGCUUGCAGGGGUACUCGAGUGGCGAACGGGUGAGUAACACGUGGGUGAUCUGCCCCGCACUUCGGGAUAAGCCUGGGAAACUGGGUCUAAUACCGGAUAGGACMACUUCUUGGAGGYYGUGGUGGAAAGUUUUUUCGGUGUGGGAUGAGCUCGCGGCCUAUCAGCUUGUUGGUGGGGUAAUGGCCUACCAAGGCGUCGACGGGUAGCCGGCCUGAGAGGGUGUACGGCCACAUUGGGACUGAGAUACGGCCCAGACUCCUACGGGAGGCAGCAGUGGGGAAUAUUGCACAAUGGGCGCAAGCCUGAUGCAGCGACGCCGCGUGGGGGAUGACGGCCUUCGGGUUGUAAACUCCUUUCGCUAGGGACGAAGCGCAAGUGAMGGUWCCUARAGAAGAAGCA
rnacentral:rRNA from 1 species